rnacentral:snoRNA from 1 species
CUUCCCAUUUAUUUGCUGCUGUAGUCUCUCAGUGAUAUGAGCAGUUAUACGCAUGGGAUAAAACAAUAUUGGGCCACUGCAGGUUGAGGUGAAGCGUUUCAUCUCCUCUGCAUGGUCUAGACAUUG